UACGUAUGGUGCAAGCGUUAUCCGGAUUUACUGGGCGUAAAGGGAGCGCAGGCGGCGCGCCAAGUCUGAUGUGAAACCCCGGGGCUCAACCCCGGGCAUGCAUUGGAAACUGGCGGGCUGGAGUGCCGGAGAGGUAAGCGGAAUUCCUAGUGUAGCGGUGAAAUGCGUAGAUAUUAGGAGGAACACCAGUGGCGAAGGCGGCUUACUGGACGGCAACUGACGCUGAGGCUCGAAAGCGUGGGUAUCAAACAGG
rnacentral:rRNA from 1 species